UACGUAGGGGGCUAGCGUUGUCCGGAAUCACUGGGCGUAAAGGGUUCGCAGGCGGAAAUGCAAGUCAGAUGUAAAAGCCAGUAGCUUAACUACUGUAAGCAUUUGAAACUGCAUAUCUUGAGAAGAGUAGAGGUAAGUGGAAUUCUGAGUGUAGCGGUGAAAUUCGUAGAUAUUCAAAAGAACACCGGUGGCGAAGGCGGCUCACUGGCCUGAUUCUGACGCUGAGGAGCGAAAGCGUGGGGAGCAAAUAGG
rnacentral:rRNA from 1 species